ACUUCUUUAAUGAUCUGCAAGAACUCAUAACCAUCUGUUUAGAAGGAAAGAUAAAGCAGAUAAGGACAGUGGUUCUCAACUCCAGUCCUCAAAUAUCACCAACAUGCCAUGUGUUCUGGAUGUCUUUAAUCAUGCCCAGGGUCCUAAAUUGGGAGCGAAUGUGUGCUAGCACUUCCAGGUGCGUCUGUUUGCUGCUGAGGACCUGUAUGAGCCUGACUCCCCCUAGUGA